rnacentral:lncRNA from 1 species
UUACAAGUUAAACUUUAUAAUAACUAUGUAUAGAGAAAAAAGAGUCUACCUAGGAUUCAGGACUAUCUGUGGUUUCAGAUCCACCGUGAGUCUUGCAAUGUAUUCCCAGUGAUGAGGGCGACGACUGUUUGAAGACACAGAAGAGACAUUGGAAAGAAGACCACGUGAAGAUGCAGACUGAAGCGAGGCGUCUACAUGCCAUGGAGCAGAAAGGAUUCCUACCAGCCUCCUUGAUUUCCAAAUCCCAUCCUCCACAACUGUAAGAGAAUAAAUUUCUAUUGAACAAUAACAUUAGAAAUGAGA